CCUUAUUGGAGAGUUUGAUCCUGGCUCAGGACGAACGCUGGCGGCGUGCUUAACACAUGCAAGUCGAGCGGUAAGGCCCUUCGGGGUACACGAGCGGCGAACGGGUGAGUAACACGUGGGUAACCUGCCCUGUACUCUGGGAUAAGCCUUGGAAACGAGGUCUAAUACCGGAUACGACCU
rnacentral:rRNA from 1 species